rnacentral:rRNA from 1 species
CCUACGGGAGGCAGCAGUGAGGAAUAUUGGUCAAUGGGCGCGAGCCUGAACCAGCCAUGCAGCGUGCAGGAUGACUGCCCUACGGGUUGUAAACUGCUUUUGUACGAGGAUAAACGCAGAUACGUGUAUCUUUCUGAAUGUACCGUAUGAAUAAGGAUCGGCUAACUCCGUGCCAGCAGCCGCGGUAAUACGGAGGAUCCGAGCGUUAUCCGGAUUUAUUGGGUUUAAAGGGUGCGUAGAUGGGUUGAUAAGUUAGUGGUGAAAGUUUGAGGCUCAACCUUAAAAUUGCAAUUGAUACUGGCAGUAUUGAGAGCAGUUGAGGUAGGCGGAAUGCGUGGUGUAGCGGUGAAAUGCUUAGAGAUCAUACAGAACUCCGAUUGCGAAGGCAGCUUACUAAGCUGCCUCUGACGUUGAGGCACGAAAGUGUGGGUAGCAAACAGGAUUAGAUACCCCGGUAGUC